rnacentral:rRNA from 1 species
UACGAAGGGGGCUAGCGUUGCUCGGAAUCACUGGGCGUAAAGCGCACGUAGGCGGAUUGCUAAGUCAGGGGUGAAAUCCUGGAGCUCAACUCCAGAACUGCCUUUGAUACUGGGAAUCUUGAGUCCGGAAGAGGUGAGUGGAACUGCGAGUGUAGAGGUGAAAUUCGUAGAUAUUCGCAAGAACACCAGUGGCGAAGGCGGCUCACUGGUCCGGUACUGACGCUGAGGUGCGAAAAGCGUGGGGAGCAAACAGG